UUGCCCGUCUGACGACGGGCAACACCAACGGUAACUACCGAUCAUGCCCGACUGGAACGUGUCGGCCUAACAGGCCAACACUGCCUCCGAUCGCCUGAAAGCCGAUCUCGCAUCACCGACUCCCUGUCGGGUGGGACAUCACCGACUCCCUGUCGGUUUGGACAACCGACGUCCGACCUCUACAGAUCCUUCUGGACGCCGAA
rnacentral:lncRNA from 1 species